rnacentral:rRNA from 1 species
GAUGAACGCUGGCGGCGUGUUUAACACAUGCAAGUCGAGCGAAGCACUUUUGCGGAUUUCUUCGGAUUGAAGCAACUGUGACUGAGCGGCGGACGGGUGAGUAACGCGUGGGUAACCUGCCUCAUACAGGGGGAUAACAGUUAGAAAUGACUGCUAAUACCGCAUAAGCGCACAGUGCUGCAUGGCACAGUGUGAAAAACUCCGGUGGUAUGAGAUGGACCCGCGUCUGAUUAGCUAGUUGGUGGGGUAACGGCCUACCAAGGCGACGAUCAGUAGCCGGCCUGAGAGGGUGAACGGCCACAUUGGGACUGAGACACGGCCCAAACUCCUACGGGAGGCAGCAGUGGGGAAUAUUGCACAAUGGGGGAAACCCUGAUGCAGCGACGCCGCGUGAGCGAAGAAGUAUUUCGGUAUGUAAAGCUCUAUCAGCAGGGAAGAAAAUGACGGUACCUGACUAAGAAGCACCGGCUAAAUACGUGCCAGCAGCCGCGGUAAUACGUAUGGUGCAAGCGUUAUCCGGAUUUACUGGGUGUAAAGGGAGCGUAGACGGUUGUGUAAGUCUGAUGUGAAAGCCCGGGGCUCAACCCCGGGACUGCAUUGGAAACUAUGUAACUAGAGUGUCGGAGAGGUAAGCGGAAUUCCUAGUGUAGCGGUGAAAUGCGUAGAUAUUAGGAGGAACACCAGUGGCGAAGGCGGCUUACUGGACGAUCACUGACGUUGAGGCUCGAAAGCGUGGGGAGCAAACGGG